rnacentral:lncRNA from 1 species
UUCAUCUGUAGAAGAAGCAAUAGAGACACGAAAUGCUGUUUACAACCUACAAUGGCCACCUAAUGGUGGACGCCUAUUGGUGGCUGACUUUGUUGAUCCCCAGGAAGUUAAAACCCGGCUUGAUGCUCCACCACAGACUCCAACUACUCCUGGGACUUCUGGUUCUACUGCUCCUCAAGCUCAACCUUCUCAGCCCCAGCCCUCUCCACGUCAGCAGGUUUCUAGACAGCAGCAUCCACCGCCUUCUGCACUUCCUCCACCACCGCCUUUGUCUAACCCUCCACCAGUUAGAGAAAGGCUCCCUCUUCCUCCACCACCUGCAGAGAAAGUAGAUCCUCCUAUUGUCACUCUGGAUGAUCUAUUUUGGAAAACCAAAGCAAUUCCUCGUAUCUACUAUUUGCCUUUGUCUGAUGAACAAGUUGCAGCAAAGCAAGCAGCACAUGGCAGAAACAUCUAGCAGUAGAGAUGAGGCUAUAGUUUUAUCCCUGGCUGCUCUUCUGGUUUUCGUAUCGGUUGGUCUGUACCUUAGAUAAUGGUAAGAAAACUGUCACAUAAUUGCAUGUUUGCAGGUCUGCAGGUUUUGCUUUAUAGGAAGGAAUUGUUGCAGCCGUGCAGAGGGAACUUGUCCAGUGAUGGGUAUUGGUUUUUCUGCCGGCUACUUGUGGGCUUGAGUUCAAGUUCCAUUUAGCACUAAAAUCCUUCAAAACUGAGAUCUCUCUGUAGUAAUGGAUCGAUUAUCCUUUGUUCUAAUUUGGUUUUCCUACAGAACAAUAGCCUCAACUCUUAUGAACCUGAUUUUGUAGAAUUUAACUUUUACUCUGGAUGUUAAUUUUACAUAGAUUUGUUAAAAGUGAAUGUAGGCUUUACUCAUUUGUAUGUGUAGUUUCAUCCAGGGUUUUUAUCAUUUAUUUAUGUAUGUGCAACGUGCUUUGAACCUGAUGAUUGAGGUUCUUCUCUCCAUCUCAUACCUUGGAUUGAGCUUCGUUUGAGAUUAGAUUUUAUUUUAUGGCAAAAACCAAAAACUAUUAGAUGAAGAUUUUUAAAGUAUUCACGGUUCACAAUGUUAGUAUUUAUAAUUGAUAAAUACAUUUAUGAAAAAUAAAUUAUUAAAAUUUCACAAAUUAUAAAAAUAUUUAAUAUGGAUGUAAUUAUAUUUGUAAAAUUUUAUAAAUACUCCUAAUAGAAUAAAAAAUUUGAAAUAUAUGCAUCAUAAUGGUAAAUUCGGUCCCACUUAAAGUUUUUGCACAAAUAGGAGUUAUAUUAAAUGGGCUAAAUUUGGUUAAUAUGCUGGGUUUUUUUUAACUAGGGGUUUAGGUCGGUUUUAAAAUUAAUUAAGGAAAUAAGUCAUUUUUAAGAGGGAGAAAGUGAAAGUAUGUCCAGUUAGACGUGCUUUUCUUCAAUGGUAAAAUACAACAGCUUUUUGAUCGUUGCUGAGCCAAACGGUGAAAAGAAAUUGUCAAAAAAAAUUUAAAAUCUCCAAAUGACAAUUUUUUUUAACUUAAAAAUACCUCCCAUUUUUUUUUCAUUCACAUUCUUUUCUCAAUUCUCUCAAGCUUUUUAUUCAAUAUUUAUUUAUAUUUUUAUUUAAAAUAUUAUUUUUUAAUUAUAUUGUAUUUUAUUCACUCGGGUCAAUUUUUAAAAAAUAGACGCCUCUCUAAUUUACUUUGAUGACAACCAUAUUUCCACUGCCCAAUUAGCAAUGAUAAGAUGAAAUUUAAAAUGUCGCUUUUUUAAUUAUGUUAAUUUUUUUUUGAUAAGUCUAAAUAUUUUUUAUGUUAUAAAUAGGCGGAGAGCCUCCGAUUCCUGAAAUUCAUGGAUACAGACAAGAGGUCGGAUUAUUGCAUGCCUCUCUCAUAUAAGGGACUUGCUAUCUUUGCAAAAAACGCAUCUAGCUGGACACAUUUUUACUUUCUCUCUCCUAAAAAUAACAUAUUUCUCUAAUCAAUUUUAAAAUUGACCUAAAGUUCAAAUUGAAAAAUAAAAGGGUAUAUUAAUUAAAUUUAGCCUAUUAAAUGUCAUUUUAAAUAUUUUACAUAUUUUAAAUAUUGAUAAUGUUCUUUUGAAAGAAAUUGAGUUAUUAAAUUUUUUUUUUAAAUUAUACAUAAAAAUUUAAAAUAAUUACCAAAAAAGUAGAUCCAUUUUAUAAUUUUAAAAACCUUUAUAGUUUAUACCUCCUCAAUUUCGAUGAAAAUACGAUCAAGAAGGGCAAUUUAGGCAUUUCAAUAAAACCAAAAUGGGUUUUUCUAGAACAAUUGGUCUCUGCCUUUUUGGAUUCGAUAAUAAUGGUUUUUUUUUUUUAAAAACCCUAAUUUCACCAUUGUUUCAAUUUUCUCCCCAUUUUCUCUCUCAAAAUCCUAAAAAGAAAAGAACAACCAGGUUAUAUUAUAUUCAAAACAGCCAAAAAAUAAAAAUCAAUUGCUCAUCAACCACUCUCUCAUAAAAUUCAUUUUCUAUUUUCCAUUUACUUUUUUUAUUUUGUUUUUUUCUUCUAAUUUUUCCUUAUUUUCAAUAACUUUCUCUUUGUUGAAAACUAGGGUUUGCGCUAAUGGUGGGUUUUGUCUGUUGAAAUUAGGGUAUUUUUGGGAUAAAUAUUCAAUUCUCCUGUAAGGGAAGUGUGGUUGUAGUGGCUUCCCAAAUAUAUAGGCCUGUGAGUAAUCUCUAUUUCUUUCCUCUCUGCAUGCAUUUUUAAUGGGUGUUAUUGCAAUUUUUUUUUUUAAAUACGAUUAGUUUUUGGUGUGAUUGUUUCAGUUCAUUAGUUUCUUGGUAAAUCGGCAUUUCGUUUCUUGCUGGUUAUGAUUUUUUUUUUCAUUACCGAAGCUAGGAUACAGAAAAUUUUGGGCUGAAAAUGUAUUUACUGUUUUUUAUGCCUUAUUUUGUUCAGUAUUUGUGCUUUUUGGGAGAAAGGGGAACUUUCUUGUAUAUAUACUUUGUCCAGGCAAAUAAGUUUUUUUUUUUGAACCCUCGUUUUGUGGUGUCAGGUUUUGUGUUGACUAAAUACUUCAUUGCUUUCCUUUUAUAUAUUUUACAUGAAGAUUUGCUAUUCUUCUGGGUUAAUUUCUUGUAAUUAUUUUCUUGGCUCUACUGCAUUUAUUCAAAUUGUUUAAACAGCUAUAUAUCAUUCCUUCGGCUCCUUUAUUUCUGCUACCUUAUAAGCAUGGCUUAACUUUAUUUUGCAGUAUAACAUGCUUUCUUUGGUCUUGUUGGCGCUUUCUUUCUACUGCACAUGUUUUACUAGAAUUUUUUUGUUUGGCUUUUUUUGUGAAUGACUGAGAAAUGUGACCUUUUCUAGUAGGUUUGAAGGUGAGUUUGGGUUGGAAAAGAUGUCAUCAAAAUAUCAAAUACUUGACAAUAGACCAAUUGAUCAAUGGAAGGUUACAGAGUUGAAAGAAGAACUUAAGAGGCGGAAACUGACAAUUCGGGGCUUGAAAGAGGAGUUGGUAAGACGUUUGGAUGAGGCCCUUAGAUUGGAAAGGGAAAAUGCUGAAACUGAGGAAGAUAAUGGUUUUAAUUCUGAUCCCCAGCCUACAGAUGAGGGAGGGAUUGAAAAGGCAAUGGCAGUUAUUGUUGAGACAGUUAAAGAUGAUGUGGAUCAUAGUAGCAGUGAGAUCAAGAAGGAGAGUGGGGUGAAGGUUCAUGUUGACAUUAAUGAGAGUGCAGCUGCUUUGGGUCAUGAAGGAGUUCAAGGAAGCGACAGCUUGGUGGAAAAGGAGCUUGUUUCUGAAACCACUACUAUUCAGACUGAGAUAAUGGUUACCAAGAAUGUGGUAUCUGAGGUACCAUCUACUGAGAAAGAGAGCUCAGGGCAAAAUGAGAAUGUGUAUACUGAUAUCAAAGUGGAGAGUGAGGAUCCUAAGCUCCAGUUCGAGACUGAUGAUCCAAAGCCUGAGGUGGAGAAUGAUGAUCCAAAGGGCCAACUGCAGGGUUCAAAUCCUCAGCUGGAGGGUGAUGAUGAUUCGAAGCCUCAGCUGGACAUUGAAGAUUCGAAGGUGCAGCUGGAGAACGAGGGUUUGAAGGUUCUACACGAGGAUGACGUGCAUGAUUCUUCUGCUCCGAACAUCCAGGUAUCUGAGGUCAGCCCUGAUUUAGGGUUGCAAGUAAAAUCUGAUUCUAUAUCUACUGAUUCUGUCUCAAAUAAUGAAAAGAUUGAAUUAAAGGAUAAUAUACUUGCUGAUAAUGUCAAAUUAGACUUAGAUGUUGUAAAGCCAGAGAUGGUGGAACCAUCAUCCAGCAAUGUUGUCCCAAUUAGUGGUGAAUCACAUCCAAUGGAUGUUGAAGAUCCGCCUGAGAACAAGGCACCUGUUGAUGGGAGAGAUGGCAAGAAUGUUACAAAUGUAGACAUGGGUAAUAAAAAUGACAGUGCUGAGACAACCUACUCGGAAAAAUUAAAUUUGGAUAGAAGUUCUGGUGAUGACUCUAUGGAGGAGGAUAUGCUUGAGAGUAAACAAAUUGAUUCAAAAUCUAGUACUGAUGAAAUGGGAGAUAAGAGUGAGAAUAAUGGAGCACCUAUUAUCAAGGAGAAAAGUCCUCUUGGUGAUGUAAGAGAUGAUUUAUCUGUAGAUAAAAAGGACACCUUGGUUGAGAAUAAGAGCCGGUCUUUUGUUCCUGCUGAGAAAAGAAAGCGUCAUGGUAAGUGGCAACGGCCUGCAAUUGUUAGUGUCUUUCUUUGCAUGUGUGCAUACUUUUACCUUACUGAUAGCAUUUUGAAGCUAAGGUGAUUGGAUAGUAGUGCUUGUACUUAAUGGACAUUCUUAAGACAGAUAACUUAAGGUGGUUUUUUGAAACAUGAUCUGCUUAAGUUGCAGUUCUGGAAGGUGAUAAUCUUGUUUUUAAGUUUUUAUUUAUUUGAUAGUUAAUACACUAUUUUAGUUUUUUUUUUCCAUGCUUUACAUGUUCUAAAAGAGCUUUACGUGUUAGAGUGCUGCAUCUUUGGUUUGAAGUUAAUGUAUAUAGUUUUUGGCUAGAAAUUGCUGUGAUGUUCAUUCUUAGUGCUUUUAUUAGUUCCUAUGACUGCCUGGAGCAUUAGAAACAAAAUUAUAGAUAUAUCUAAUAUUGAGCUUUCUCUGUUAUCAAGAGAGUUCAUUUUUUAAAUUUGAUCAGACAUGAGAAUGAAAUUAAUGUAGUUUCCUACUGGGUUAAUGGGCAAUUCUCACCUGAUGAGCUGUCUUUACAGAUCAGGAACCUGUUGGUAACAAUGAGCUUGCAAAACGGCGCAAAUGGAAUUCUGACAAUAUAGAAGUUACAGAACAUCAAGGCUCUAAUCUUACACCCAUCAGCACACCUAAAGACACCCCUCAGCCUGCUGCUUUGAGACGUAACUUCUCUAGAUCAGACUCAACAGCAAGUGAAGGUGCACAAAAGGAACGAGUUGGUGAGUUGUCAUCUCUCAGUCAGCUGAUACGAAUUGAACUUUGCUGAUUGUUGUUUUAACAUCUAAAUGGUUUCUGUUUCAUCUUUAUUUGGCAGUUCCCCCUUCUCAAAAUGCUCCUACCACGUCCCUCAGAAUUGAUCAUUUUCUGCGCCCUUUUACCUUGAAAGCUGUACAAGAACUUCUAGGGAAAACUGGGACUGUAACUAGCUUCUGGAUGGACCACAUUAAGACCCAUUGCUAUGUUACAGUAAGACUUAUUGCUUUGUUUCCAUCUCCUCCGAUGGGACUUUCGUGGUCUAUGAUCAAUUACUCAUGUUGGCCUUUUAUUGUUGGUCCGAUUCAAUAUAUCUAAUCAACUUUGGGAAUUGCUUUAUUGGUGCAGUAUUCAUCUGUAGAAGAAGCAAUAGAGACACGAAAUGCUGUUUACAACCUUCAAUGGCCACCUAAUGGUGGCCGUCUAUUGGUGGCCGACUUUGUUGAUCCCCAGGAAGUUAAAACUCGGCUUGAUGCUCCACCACAGACUCCAACUACUCCUGGGACUUCUGGUUCUACUGCUCCUCAAGCUCAACCUACUUCUCAUCCCCAGCCAUCUUUGCGUCAGCAGGUUUCUAGGCAGCAGUUUCCACCACCUUCUGCACUUCCUCCACCACCACCUUUGCCUAACCCUCCACCAGUUAGAGAACGUCUCCCUCUUCCGCCGCCACCUCCAGAGAAACCAGAUCCUCCCAUUGUCACUCUGGAUGAUCUAUUUUGGAAAACCAAAGCAACUCCUCGGAUCUACUAUUUGCCUUUGUCAGAUG